UUAUUAUUAUUUUAUUUACAAUGUAAAUUGAAACAAUAAAUAUUGUGCUGUGUCAUAAUUUCAAACUCAUUAUGUUGCAGUCUUUUCCAGUUGAUAAAAUUGCAAUUCAAAAACUUUUAGAUUUGCACUGUAUGGAUGGCACAGGAAGAGAACAAGAACAUGAAACAUCUUAUUAUGAAUGUAUAUGUAUGUGAUCCUCAAAAAAUUAUUUUACAAAACAAGAUAGAGAAAGAGCUUUAAAAUCCCAAGGAUCCUGCAAAAUGUUUAUUUGGUGUACUAGUCGAAUAAUAGUAUCUAAAAAUAUUGAAACUAUUUUAAAACACAUUACGGGCAUGAGGAUGAUAAAGAGCACUUACAUAAAUACCAAAAUCAGAUAAAUAUCUCUUCAAAGUUUAUUUUGAGACUUUCUUCAAAAAUUAAACUUCAGACUGUUCAGGAUAGCAUAAUAGCAUAGGAGGCGAAUUAAAAAGAAUUGAUUUACUUACAAGAAAAGAUAUCACAAAUUUUAAACUCUCUUAUGGCAUUGAUUUGAAAGAUGGGUAUAUGUACAAUGAUGAUGCAACCAGUGUUUAUUUUUGGGUUGAAUGCUUACAGACUCAUGUCCAAUAUUAUUUUACAAACAACAGGGCAUACUAAUGGAUAUUCAUUCUGAAUUUAACAUUUAUGAUUUUUGUCUUAUUUUCCUUAAUACUGUGCCAAAAGGAAAUGUUAAUUAAGUUUGGUAAAUCCUUUAUCGCAAUCGAUGGAACUCAUGGGCUCAAUUCCUAUGACUUUGAACUUAUUGACAGUAUUAGUAAAAGAUGAAUUUGGAAAUGGAUUUUGUACUGCUUUCUUAUUUUCAAAUAGAAAAGAUACCUACUUUAAUUUACCAAUUUUUUUAAAUACAUGUCUGUGUUGGUAUUAUAUGUAUAGUCAAAUGUUUUCAUAUCAGGUAUAAGCGACACCUUUUACAAUGCCUCGUCAAAUGUACUGGGUAUUGCUCCUAAUAGACUGUUAAGUGCCUGGCACAUAGAUAGGGCAUGGUAAGUAAAUCUUAAUAAAAUAUCUGAUUCUGAAAAAAAUCCUAUUAUGUAUACAAGAUGUAUUAAUGAUGGUUUAGAGAGUAUUAAUAGCUUUUUGGGUAGACUUCUAAGUGAUGCAGAUACAUACAAUUUUAGUAAGUAUUUCCAGUAGAACUACUGCAAUAACAUCCAACAAUGAGCCUAUUGUUAUAGGAAGGGGUUGUGGAAUUAAUACCAAUAUGACCAUUCAAAAUUUUCAUAAAAUUUUGGAUAAAAGGGUAUCCAUUAGUUAUCAGUUAAGUUUAAAACUUGGCACUCAUGGAGAGCUAUACCAUAAUAUAUAAUAGGUAUAUCUCAUAAUAUUACAUCUCAUAUUGUUCACUACAGUAGUAAUGAGUGAGCCUGCAUACACAGAACCAUAAUAAUAUAUUAUAGUUCGUGU